UACAGAGGUCCCAAGCGUUGUUCGGAUUUACUGGGCGUAAAGGGUGCGUAGGUGGUUGGGUAAGUCUGAUGUGAAAUCUCCGGGCUCAACCCGGAAAUGGCAUUGGAUACUAUUCGACUAGAGGGUUGGAGGGGGGACUGGAAUUCUCGGUGUAGCAGUGAAAUGCGUAGAUAUCGAGAGGAACACCAGUGGCGAAGGCGAGUCCCUGGACAACACCUGACACUGAGGCACGAAAGCUAGGGGAGCAAACAGG
rnacentral:rRNA from 1 species